UACGUAGGGGGCAAGCGUUGUCCGGAAUCAUUGGGCGUAAAGAGCGUGUAGGCGGCCCGGUAAGUCCGCUGUGAAAGUCCAGGGCUCAACCCUGGGAUGCCGGUGGAUACUGUCGGGCUCGAGUCCGGAAGAGGCGAGUGGAAUUCCUGGUGUAGCGGUGAAAUGCGCAGAUAUCAGGAGGAACACCAAUGGCGAAGGCGGGUCUCUGGGCAGUGAACUGACGCUGAGGAGCGAAAAGCCGUGGGGGAGCGAACAGG
rnacentral:rRNA from 1 species